rnacentral:lncRNA from 1 species
AUACGAUUAUAAUCAUGAUAUAUAUGGUGAGUGUAUUUAUAUUAUUACAUUGCAAAUGUUAUACAUUCAAAAUGUUUUAAACAGAAUAGAAAACAAUAAACACAUUAUUAAUGGUAUCAUAUAUAUUCUACAUAGGGGUCUCUGUGGGUUAAACGUAUAGUUUAACUCUGAUCAUCGAUGAGUCCUGUAUCUAUACCAUUUAAGCAUAAUAUCGCUAACUCCAGUAAUUAAAAAAAAUAUAUAUAUUCUCUGGUUGCAAUCUACUAUAACUUCAAUCUUCUUUAAAUAUUUUCAGUCUAGAUAUGUAUACCUAUCCCAAAUCUAUCUAAC